UACAGAGGGGGCAAGCGUUAUUCGGAAUUAUUGGGCGUAAAGGGCGCGUAGGCGGCUUUGCAAGUGACGGGUGAAAGCCCUCGGCUUAACCGAGGAACUGCCUGUCAGACUGUGAGGCUUGAGACCGGGAGAGGUGAGUGGAAUUCCCAGUGUAGCGGUGAAAUGCGUAGAUAUUGGGAGGAACACCAGUGGCGAAGGCGGCUCACUGGACCGGAACUGACGCUGAUGCGCGAAAGCGUGGGGAGCAAACAGG
rnacentral:rRNA from 1 species